rnacentral:rRNA from 1 species
GAUGAACGCUGGCGGCGUGCCUAAUACAUGCAAGUCGAGCGAACGGACGAGAAGCUUGCUUUUCUGAUGUUAGCGGCGGACGGGUGAGUAACACGUGGAUAACCUACCUAUAAGACUGGGAUAACUUCGGGAAACCGGAGCUAAUACCGGAUAAUAUUUUGAACCGCAUGGUUCAAAAGUGAAAGACGGUCUUGCUGUCACUUAUAGAUGGAUCCACGCUGCAUUAGCUAGUUGGUAAGGUAACGGCUUACCAAGGCAACGAUGCAUAGCCGACCUGAGAGGGUGAUCGGCCACACUGGAACUGAGACACGGUCCAGACUCCUACGGGAGGCAGCAGUAGGGAAUCUUCCGCAAUGGGCGAAAGCCUGACGGAGCAACGCCGCGUGAGUGAUGAAGGUCCUCGGAUCGUAAAACUCUGUUAUUAGGGAAGAACAUAUGUGUAAGUAACUGUGCACAUCUUGACGGUACCUAAUCAGAAAGCCACGGCUAACUACGUG